UCAAUGACAACCAAUCAACAUCCCUGUUUUAGGGGGAUGGCUAAGAUGUCGAACGCUGAUUGGUUGAACACAGUUGGGGGCGGUACUAAAACGUUUCAUUCAAACUCACGACCGCCACUGUUGUUUAUUUCUUAUUUUUUUGUGUAUUUCUAUUACAACAAACUUUGACAACGGAGAGAAAGAAGACCAAAAGGAACUUUCGACAUGCGGAACUUUUGUGGGGCAUCUGUGUGCUAAAGAACACUCAUCGUUGGAGCUAUUUUGGAGUGUUUUUACUCAAAUGAAAUUAAACUAUGCAGUUUAUUCGGAGGAGUAUGAAGCCGGACACGAAGCAAUGACCUGAGCUGCUUUGUUGGAUGAAUAUGAAACAAAGAAGGCAGCACACAGGUGGAGCGUAGCUGAAAUGGACCAAAAGUAAUCACCUGACCUUCAUGAAUUCAUCAUUUACUGAGAGGACGACUUUCUGACUUUUUAUGGACAAUUCGCACCAAAAAUGUGCAGUCCCACGAAUGGCGUUUUCAUGAUCCCACUUCUGACACCAUGUCCUGAGUUGUGUUGGCUUUUAAAAAAGUGGAUUAUUGGCAUCACUAUGGACCAUUUGACUUCAAUUUACUCCAUUGUUGGAUUUUAGCACCAAAAAUAAACCGUUGGCAUCGCUGGGGUAAAAAUGCACAACGCUUGAGAAGGUAUAACCGUGUCAUCACACACACACACACACACACAUUUCCAAGGCUGAUUUAUGCAAGCUAAGCGCACGACGACAGCUAAACAAAGACCGUGCUGCACACACACCUGCAUGGAGUUUAAAUACUGACAACAGCUGUGGCCUGACGGAGACACAUGGAGGAGAGACACUUUUGUUCGCUUUGUGCACUUCUAACACAAGCACACACAUCUGUACACACAGGCAAAAACCACAACACACACACACACACACACACCCACAGCAGUCGUGUAGUCGGUCUCCCAGUUUGUUUGCCAACUGCUCUUGUGUGGGUCCGCCUUGGGGUUUUUGCGCGACGUCAAGUGCUGACUGUGCAACUUGACAGUUGCACCUGUGAGGAGAGUGACAGUAAGUGUCGAGCCUGAGGGGGAGAAACAAGUCAGACGUCCGCUUUGUGCACGGAAAGUGUUGAAGGCUGCCUUCACACUUGCAGUUUUGUACCAAAAAAAAAGUACGGCUGCAAAAAAAGCCACCAUAGAGCCAAAUAAAGUUGUAGCAUAAAGUAAAAGUCCGAUCCAAGUCAACGAGAGCCUUAUAGUCCGUGUUUCCAGACGGUCACUGAACGCACCACGCUGCUACAAUAAGUCUAGCCAAACAAUCGAGGCUAUUAUACCGCCUAGCAGCUGUCCUCUGUAGCUUUGCCAGAGCCUGGUCUUGCCGUGUCAGCGCUAAGAAAGCCACUUCAAAUGGACCCGGCGCGAUCAGAUUGCCUCGAAAAUGGGUUGCAAAGGGCUUCUUUCC